CACCAGGUUGAUUCUGCCUGACGUAGAUGCUAGUCUCUGAGAUUAAGCCAUGCAUGUUUAUGUAAUAAGGACGAACAGCUCAGUAGAACUGCGAUUAUUUAGUCUGUCUGUGCAGGAUAACUACGUGAAAAUGUAGCUAAGAGAGGACAGAAUAAGACGUAGGACUACCAGUUAGUUGGUAGUGUAAUGGACUACCAAGACGACGACGGUUAACGGGGAAUCAGGGUUUUAUACCGGAGAGGGAGCCUGAGAGAUUGCUCCCACGUCCAUGGACGGCAGCAGGCGCGAAAAUUGCCCACUCUUUGCAGGAGGCAGUUAUGAGACGUGAAGACGAAUGCUUGGUAAAGAGAAGCAGGAGAAUUGGAGGGCAAGUUUGGUGCCAGCAGCCGCGGUAAUACCGACUCCAAGAGUGUGUAUGAGAGAUGCUGCAGUUAAAAAGUCCGGAGUCUUCGAGGUUGAAAUUGGGGCACGAGGCCCCAGACAGACAUGAUGGAGGAGCCAAUGGGGAACAUAGUAUACCAGGGCGAGAGAUGAAAUGCCUAGACCCCUGGUGGACUAAGCGAGGCGAAAGCGAUGUUCUUGUGGGUAUUCGGUGAUCAAGGACGAAGGCUGGAGGAUCGAAAGUGAUUAGAUACCGCAGUAGUUCCAGCAGUAAAAGAUGCCGACAUGUCGGCUGGGCACAGCUGACAGGGAGAAAUCUUAGAGUUCGGGCUCUGGGGAUAGUAUGCUCGCAAGAGUGAAAAUUAAAGAAAUUGACGGAGCUACACCACAAGGAGUGGAUUGUGCGGCUUAAGUUGACUCAACGCGAGGAAAACUACCAGGGGCAAGUAUUGUGUAGAGAAGAGCAAUACAGAAGUGGUGCAUGGUCGUUGGAAAUUGAUGGGAUGACUUUGAGCUUAAAUGGUUGAAUGAGUGAGAUCUUCAGACAUGUUCCUCACGGGACAGGAAGGAGGAGGCUAUAACAGAUCAGAGAUGCCCUUAGAUGCCCUGGGCUGCACGCGCAAUACAAUAGCACUGAGACGGAGAGAGCGGAAAGUGUUCUGAUGGAUUAUGUGUUGUAAGACAGAUAUGAAAGAGGAAUUCCUAGUAAGUAUGUAUCAACAAUGGAUAUUGAAUGAGUCCCUGUAGCUUGUACACACCGUCCGUCGCUAUCUCAGAUGUUUUUCAGGAUGAAGAGUCACGGCUCUGAAUAAUGAAAAGUAGAUAAGAUGUAAGUCGUAGCAAGGUUUCGGUCGGUGAACCAGCAGCAGGAUCAUAA
rnacentral:rRNA from 13 species